rnacentral:rRNA from 1 species
CCCUUAGAUGUUCUGGGCCGCACGCGCGCUACACUGACGAAGUCAGCGAGCAUGUCCUACGCCGACAGGUGCGGGGAAUCUUGUCAAACUUCGUCGUGAUGGGGAUUGAUUAUUGAAAUUCUUGAUCAUCAACGAGGAAUUCCUAGUAAGCGCAAGUCAGCAGCUUGCGUGGAUUACGUCCCUGCCCUUUGUACACACCGCCCGUCGCUACUACCGAUUGAAUGGUUUAGUGAGAUCUUCGGAUUGGCGCCACUGCGGCUCAGCAAUGGGCUCGGUGGAUGCCGAAAAGUUGAUCAAACUUGAUCAUUUAGAGGAAGUAAAAGUCGUAACA